UACGUAGGGGGCUAGCGUUGUCCGGAAUCAUUGGGCGUAAAGAGCGCGUAGGCGGCCAGAUAAGUCCGGUGUGAAAGUCAAAGGCUCAACCUUUGAAUGCCGCUGGAAACUGUCUGGCUAGAGUCCGGGAGGGGCGAGUGGAAUUCCUGGUGUAGCGGUGAAAUGCGCAGAUAUCAGGAGGAACACCAAUGGCGAAGGCAGCUCGCUGGAACGGUACUGACGCUGAGGCGCGAAAGCAUGGGUAGCGAACAGG
rnacentral:rRNA from 1 species